UACGAACUGCGCAAACGUUAUUCGGAAUCACUGGGCUUACAGGGUGCGUAGGCGGCCGACCAGGUCAGAUGUGAAAUCCCACAGCUCAACUGUGGAACGGCAUUUGAAACCGGCCGGCUUGAGUGAACUAGAGGCAUACGGAACUUCCGGUGGAGCGGUGAAAUGUGUUGAGAUCGGAAGGAACACCAGAGGCGAAAGCGGUAUGCUGGAGUUUGUCUGACGCUGAGGCACGAAAGCCAGGGGAGCGAACGGGAUUAGAUACCCCGGUAGUCCUGGCUGUAAACGAUCCGUACUAGACGGUGGGGGGCUCGCCUUCCACGGUCGCAGCGAAAGCAUUAAGUACGGCGCCUGGGGAGUAUGGUCGCAAGGCUGAA
rnacentral:rRNA from 1 species